rnacentral:lncRNA from 1 species
AUGCAAGUUUCUUCUGGAAAGAGCCGCCCUCUUGACACGCUCCCUGCCACCCGGCCACACGGGACGGGGACCUCUGCGCGAUGGGUGGAAAGGGGUGCAGCUGGACCAGGGCGCCUCCCACGAAGGGGGGACCUGCCCGACACCUCCGGUGGCGGGGACAGGGCCUCCUUCCCCCUCGCCCCACGCUGCCUCCAUGAAGCUGUUGCUGCGCCCCUUCCCGGGUUCUCAGAAUUUGUCAGAGAAGCUCUGCGGGGGGAAGCGCUACCCAGGGGUUGGCGCGUGGACCUGGCGUGGGACCGGCCUGUCCGGAACGCCUCCUCAGCUGUCCUUCCUUUAUCACGGAUCCAAGUCCUGCUUUGUGCCAGGCACUGUGUGUGCCCCGAGCCAGGGCUGCAGCCUGGACAUCACAGCGCAGCCGUGACCGCCCACCUGGCAGCUCCCCUCAGCGACAUGCAGCAGCACGGAGCUCCGACGAGGAGGCGCACGCUGAACAAGUCACCUGAACAUCCACACGUUCUCACCAUAAAUCUGGCUAAAAGAAGCAAAGAGUAUCCAUGCUGCAGCCUGAAUCCUCCACAGCCAACAGGGAAUUCUCCAGGACCCACUGCCUCCUCAAAGCUACCACCAGGAAGCAGGAUGCAGGUCCCUUUGCUGAGCCAUCCAAGGACCACUGGGGUGUCUGGUGUCAACCCUGCAAGGACACAGCUCUGCUUGGAGGUGAGGGAAGAGCAGAAGCUCUGGACAGUGUGUCCUCAUAUCUGCACACCUGGUGCAGCUAUCCCCUUCCUGACCUGAUGCCUGAUCCAUCCGGACUGGGUGAGACUGCAUGAGCCUUCCCUGACCAUGCCCCCAUCAGUCCACAGGUAGAUGGACACAUAGCUAUCUCCCAAGUUUAACAUCUUUAGUCACCAUCAUGCAGCUGGAUGGCCGAGGAGCAUUCUAGGUUUAAGCCAUGAGCCUGCCCUCACCUCUCUCACAACCCCAGGAGAGGGAUGGAAGAUGCAGCCACCAGAGGGGCCAACGCGGAGUACUCAGUGCCUCAAGUGUCCCCUCCUAUGAGCUCAGGCUCACAGCCAAUGUGUGGAUGGCACAGCGGGAAGUGGCUUCUUCCUCUUCCAAGGAAGUGGGGAAGACAACAGUCUUUCUCCACUCCACUUGGCUCCCUCUGUCCCGUAGGGCCAAACUCCUUCCACAGAAGUCCUUGGGCUCUGCUCUGACGUCUCCACCUGCCUGCACAGUUGAAGCUUGACUCAGAAUAGGAGACUGUGGCAGAUAGACUGUUUCCCUACCUCCACUGCCUGUCACCUCUGUCACUUUACUUAAAACUCCAAACCACUGCGGGGGCGUGGUGGCGCAUACCUGUAAUCUCAGUGCUGAGGAGGCUGAGGCAGGAGGGUCUCUGUGAGUUCAAGGCCAGCUUGGGCUACACAGCUUGAAUUACAUAGGGAGACUGUCUCAAUAUUACAUACUUCAAACAUGUACUAAUAAAAACAAAUAAAUAUAAAUAGACAUGGAGAGAAAUAAUACAGUAGAGCAGAAGGACCAUAAAAAGAAAAACAAAAAACUGAGCCAUUGUUUAUUUGUAAAACUGGAGCCACGUUCACACUUCCUUCCCAAUACAUCAGACCAGAUGCUGCAUAUAAAGUUCUGAGGCAGGUCAAUAGAGAGAAGUUAUUAUUGUGUGCUGCUGCUCCUCUUCCUCCAUCUCCUCCCCGUUCCUUCUCCCCUACCUGCUUGCCUCCCUCUCCUCCAUCCCCUUCUCCUCCUCUUCCUCUUCCCCCUCCUCUACCUCCUCCUCCCACCCUCCUCUGUGCCCUCCCC